rnacentral:lncRNA from 1 species
GAAUCCCUCAAAAUGAGAAAUUACAUAACAACUUUUCUUAUCCUCUGUGAUAUUAUUCACUUGGAAGACCCUCUCACAUACGGAUUCCCAUACAAGAAACUCUUCGGGAUCACUCUCUCCUUUGAAGAUUGGAAGUCCCAUUUAGAUAGUGUUAAGGCCUACAUCCCUAUCUCUAACACCUUGGCCAACUAUACCUUUAAGUCCAUAGUUUCCC